rnacentral:rRNA from 1 species
UACGUAGGGUGCGAGCGUUGUCCGGAAUUAUUGGGCGUAAAGAGCUCGUAGGCGGCUUGUCGCGUCGGAUGUGAAAGCCCGGGGCUUAACUCCGGGUCUGCAUUCGAUACGGGCAGGCUAGAGUUCGGUAGGGGAGAUCGGAAUUCCUGGUGUAGCGGUGAAAUGCGCAGAUAUCAGGAGGAACACCAAUAGCGAAGGCAGCUCGCUGGGACGUUACUGACACUGAGGCGCGAAAGCGUGGGGAGCAAACAGG